ACGCUGGCGGCAGGCCUAACACAUGCAAGUCGAGCGGUAGAGAGAAGCUUGCUUCUCUUGAGAGCGGCGGACGGGUGAGUAAUGCCUAGGAAUCUGCCUGGUAGUGGGGGAUAACGUUCGGAAACGGACGCUAAUACCGCAUACGUCCUACGGGAGAAAGCAGGGGACCUUCGGGCCUUGCGCUAUCAGAUGAGCCUAGGUCGGAUUAGCUAGUUGGUGAGGUAAUGGCUCACCAAGGCGACGAUCCGUAACUGGUCUGAGAGGAUGAUCAGUCACACUGGAACUGAGACACGGUCCAGACUCCUACGGGAGGCAGCAGUGGGGAAUA
rnacentral:rRNA from 1 species